CGGAACUUAGCUCAGUGGUAGAGCGCUUGACUUUUAAUCAAGUUGUCGGGGGUUCGAUUCCUCCAGUUCCGA
rnacentral:tRNA from 1 species